rnacentral:lncRNA from 1 species
UUUGUACUCCAUAUUUUUUUUUUAUUUGUGGAUGCCAAUUUUCUUAGUUUAUAGAAAAUCAGUAUUGUUGCAUCUGUUCUAUGUCAAAUUGACAUAGUGGUACAACAAAUCAAGUUUCUGUCUGAUGGAAAAUUAGAUCAAGUAAGAUAACAGAUAAGAUUAAUUUCCAUUGAAAUUUAUAUUUCUCACUGUAAUUAGUGUGUCUAAUGACAGUUGAGCUGUAGUGACACACAGGAAUAAAGUUUUUCCUAGUGUCUGUCCUUAACUACUUUUGCUGUAUUGCAUAAUCUUUGGCUUUCAUACUGUAUGUUAUUCUGCAUCUCUUGACAGACUUCCACCAAAAUGUAUAGAUUUGUCUACAGCACAUAGAGUUAUGCACCUCCUAUUUGAAAAAUAUAUCAUUCCUAAUUUGAGUUUUUUCUAGUUUUAAUGCGGACCUGUUGUUAUCUACUUUUUAUCAGAAUUUAAAACACAAUUCUUGAAAAUAGCUUGAUAUAAGUCUACCACUCUUACAACGAUUCUUCUCUAGAACUGUAAACUUUGAUAUGAGUGAUAUUUGGGUCUCUUACCAAAACAAUUUUCAUUUAUAUCAGUUUAAACUAUAACUCGUUGGAAACGGCUUGAAAUAAUUUUUAUACACUUGCACAGGUUCUUCUGCGGGACAUGAAGUUGUGCACCUACCAAUACUGUUUUGAUUUGUGAUUUUAGAAAUUUUAUGCCACUUAAGGGGUUCGCGGGUCUAAAUCAUUUAUAUAGGAUUUCUCUAUAUUUUUCUAUAAAUGAACUUUAUCUUAUAGUUAAUAGAAAAAUAAAAUAAAAAAGUAGGGUCACCGUUCAUUUGCGCUCACAAUCUGCCUUCGAAAGAAGCAUACAUUUGUGUAAAGGCGUUUUUUUUUCUGUUGAAGUAAUAGGAGAAAUAAAGGUAAUAUCGAAAGAAAAAAAAGAAAUUUAUUACAGAAAUCGCUAAAAUUUUACAAUAAUUUAGUUAAAGUACAG